rnacentral:rRNA from 1 species
CGUAGUGAACCUGCGGAAGGAUCAUUA